rnacentral:rRNA from 1 species
GUGGGGAAUAUUGCGCAAUGGGGGAAACCCUGACGCAGCGACGCCGCGUGAGCGAAGAAGGCCUUAGGGUUGUAAAGCUCUGUUUUAAGGGACGAAUGUCGUGGGGAGUAAUAUGCUCUGCGAAUGACGGUACCUUAAGAGGAAGCCCCGGCUAACUACGUGCCAGCAGCCGCGGUAAGACGUAGGGGGCGAGCGUUGUCCGGAAUUACUGGGCGUAAAGAGCACGUAGGCGGGAACUUAAGUCAGGUGUGAAAGACCGGGGCUCAACUCCGGGGUUGCACUUGAAACUGGGUUUCUUGAGGGCAGGAGAGGAAAGCAGAAUUCCUGGUGUAGCGGUGAAAUGCGUAGAAAUCAGGAGGAAUACCAGUGGCGAAGGCGGCUUUCUGGACUGACCCUGACGCUGAGGUGCGAAAGCGUGGGUAGCAAACAGGAUUAGAUACCCGAGUAGUCC